GUGGCUCACCUUAAAUACAUGUUGGCCUGACUUUUGUCUAGGACCGGUUUGACUUGGCGUUAUAAGUUAUUUCGCUAAGGACAUCUUCACGGAUGGCCGAUCCAAAGACUCUGUCUUGCUUCAAUGGCGCAAGCCUCUUGAAGCGCAAACAAUUCUGACCAAUUGGCCUCAAAUCAGGUAGGACUACCCGCUGAACUUAA
rnacentral:misc_RNA from 1 species